GAUCAACGAGACCUGACCAUCUUUGGAGUUUUCUCUCAAAUUUAUUGAGAGACUCCAUUGACCAAAGAAGAUGUUGUACCCUGAAGGCCCUUUCUGUUUAUCUGAAUGAAGAUCCAAGCAACAUGAUAAAAGAAUAUGUAAAUAUUGAUUUCCUUAAUGCCCAGC